CAUAGCCACAAGAAGUUAGUAAAUGUCAGAGUUUGAAUGUAAAUAUCUUUCCAACUAUAUCAUGCCAUAGAAUAGGUGAAGACAAAUCUUUACCACUGAAAUUUUACUAUGUCACUCAUUAAAGGACAGCUCUGGAAUUAUGUAGCUAGGGCCGGUAUUAUGAUGUAAAGAAAGAGCUGCAUACCAGUUAGUAAUGGUCAAAAUGAGGCUCUGGCUGUUGGAUGUAUAUCAGACAGAUUCCUGAAAGUGAUUUCAGCUGCCAAAAUCCUUUCCCUUAGUGAUUUAUAAACUUUCCCUGACAGAAGAGUAAUUUAUCCUGAUCCUUUAUUAUGGAUGUGAAGAUGGAUUUUUAGUGAUCAGCUCAUUGUGAGGAUAAGUUUUUCACUCUGAGCCACCCUGGAAGGAUGAAGGAGGAGAGGUUGGCUAAUGCCCACUGGCACGGACAGAGAUCUGCCCAACAUUAAUUCUUUACCAUUAGAAGAACAGCUGAGUUACAGAACACUCUGAGGUCCAGAGUGCGAAAAUGAUUGCAUAAGAUCAUACAACUAGUCUGUGGAAGAGCUGGAAUUACAAUCCUGAUCUUAUGAUUUCUAAUUGAGGUGCGAGGCUUUCCUUACUUCAGACAUCAGAAUGUGGUGAUCCAGCAAAUAAAGAAGAGACAACAUAAAGAUAUCAGCUUCUACAGUUUGCUCAAUUCUUCCUUCAACACCUCUUGGACUGGUGUGGGAAUGACUUAAUAGAAUCAUCUUUUACUGUUCUAUGUCUGACACCUAAAAUUAUCUUCAGAGAGUUCACUAGAACAGACUUAAAUUUGGGAGCAUUUACUCUCACAGAUCCAAUAUACUUAUUAGUCUCUGAAUAGUCCUGACAAUAACUACAAGUAGAUUUUAAAAACGUAUCCUCAGAUAUUGCAAUAGUGCAUAUAUACAUACAUACAUGAAUAAU